AUAUCUUUCUGUACGGGAAGGAUGAGAAGCUUCGACUAAGGUUCGAUUCGAACGCAGCGAGAAAGCGUUGCCGCAGGCAACGACCCGAAGGGCGAAGCGCGCAGCGCUGAGUCAUCCUUCCCCCACCACCA
rnacentral:sRNA from 2 species